UUAUUUUAUUUUAUAUUAUUUUAUUUUAUUUUAUUUUAUUUUAUUUUAUUUUAUUUUAUUUUACUUUAUAUUAUUUUAUUUUAUUUUAUUUUAUGUUAUGUUAUGUUAUGUUAUUUUGUUAUAUUUUAUAUUUUAUAUUUUAUAUUUUAUAUCUUAUAUCUUAUAUUUUAUUUUGUUUUAUCCUCACUAUUGUUCUGAUCUGGGAUAAUUUUUUGGCCUGCACUUAAUUAGUCAUAAUUCAGAGGUUUUCAUAAGUCACACACUGCACAUGCUGAAGUGCUAAUGAGGCAUUUCCAUGCUGAAUCACCAACUAAUGAUUUACCACGAUGAUUUUGUUAUUAAAUCCGCAACCCCUGGCUCUGCUGAGCAGCGCUGGGAGACGCCUGUUUGCUAAUACACGGAGACAGUGGAAUGCAAGCAGAAAAUAUUAUGAACUCGUCAUCAGAGCGCUGACAUAUUGAUGUGGCACCUGCAGCUGCCCGCAGGGGUUCCGAAAGCCGCCGGGGAAGCGGCCUGACAGCUCGGUUAUCCGCAGAGCCAGGCUGCUUGUUUAACACCCACGGGACACGGGGAAACCACGGGCACCCACCCCAGCCCGAGCGGGGAAACGCUGGGCCCGGCACCACCCACCCCCAGCACCGGGAGGCACGGGGGAAACUGAGCCCCGCGUGGUACCCAAGGACAUCCCGGUGCCCGGGAACAUCCCGGUACUGAGAGCAUUUCCCGGAUCUGAGAGCAUUUCCCGGAUCUGAGAGCAUUUCCCAGUUCUGACAGCACUUCCCAGUACUGACAGCACUUCCCAGUACUGAGAGCACUCCCAUUCCUGAGGACGCCCCGGUACCUGAGGAUACCCCGGUACCCCGGUGUGUCCCACCUGGCUGAGGGGAUGUCGGUGAGCGCUCCCAGCAGGAUCUGGCCUGCUCCAGGGUACCCAGUGCAUCACAGAGGCUGCUGGGGAAGGGAACACGACGGGGCCUCGGUGUCUCCUGUGCCAGCACUCGGGAGAGAAGGACGUGCAGAGCAGUGG
rnacentral:lncRNA from 1 species